rnacentral:rRNA from 1 species
UGUGACAGUGGUUGAUCACGAGUUAGUCGGUCCUAAGUUCAAGGCGAAAGCCGAAAAUUUUCAAGUAAAACAAAAAUGCCUAACUAUAUAAACAAAGCGAAUAUAAUACACUUGAAUAAUUUUGAACGAAAGGGAAUACGGUUCCAAUUCCGUAACCUGUUGAGUAUCCGUUUGUUAUUAAAUAUGGGCCUCGUGCUCAUCCUGGCAACAGGAACGACCAUAAAGAAGCCGUCGAGAGAUAUCGGAAGAGUUUUCUUUUCUGUUUUAUAGCCGUACUACCAUGGAAGUCUUUCGCAGAGAGAUAUGGUAGAUGGGCUAGAAGAGCAUGACAUAUACUGUUGUGUCGAUAUUUUCUCCUCGGACCUUGAAAAUUUAUGGUGGGGACACGCAAACUUCUCAACAGGCCGUACCAAUAUCCGCAGCUGGUCUCCAAGGUGAAGAGUCUCUAGUCGAUAGAAUAAUGUAGGUAAGGGAAGUCGGCAAAUUAGAUCCGUAACUUCGGGAUAAGGAUUGGCUCUGAAGAUUGAGAUAGUCGGGCUUGAUUGGGAAACAAUAACAUGGUUUAUGUGCUCGUUCUGGGUAAAUAGAGUUUCUAGCAUUUAUGUUAGUUACUUGUUCCCCGGAUAGUUUAGUUACGUAGCCAAUUGUGGAACUUUCUUGCUAAAAUUUUUAAGAAUACUAUUUGGGUUAAACCAAUUAGUUCUUAUCAAUUAUAACGAUUAUCAAUUAACAAUCAAUUCAGAACUGGCACGGACUUGGGGAAUCCGACUGUCUAAUUAAAAACAAAGCAUUGUGAUGGCCCUAGCGGGUGUUGACACAAUGUGAUUUCUGCCCAGUGCUCUGAAUGUCAAAGUGAAGAAAUUCAAGUAAGCGCGGGUCAACGGCGGGAGUAACUAUGACUCUCUUAAGGUAGCCAAAUGCCUCGUCAUCUAAUUUAGUGACGCGCAUGAAUGGAUUAACGAGAUUCCUACUGUCCCUAUCUACUAUCUAGCGAAACCACAGCCAAGGGAACGGGCUUGGAAUAAUUAGCGGGGAAAGAAGACCCUUUUGAGCUUGACUCUAAUCUGGCAGUGUAAGGAGACAUAAGAGGUGUAGAAUAAGUGGGAGAUAUUAGACCUCGGUUUGGUAUCGUCAAUGAAAUACCACUACUCUUAUUGUUUCCUUACUUACUUGAUUAAAUGGAACGUGUAUCAUUUCCUAGCCAUUAUACGGAUAUAUUUAUUAUAUCUUAUGGUAUUGGGUUUUGAUGCAAGCUUCUUGAUCAAAGUAUCACGAGUUUGUUAUAUAAUCGCAAACAAAUUCUUUAAUAAAACGAUGCAUUUAUGUAUUUUUGAUUUGAAAAUUUGGUAUAACUCCAAUUACUCAGGUAUGAUCCAAUUCAAGGACAUUGCCAGGUAGGGAGUUUGACUGGGGCGGUACAUCUCUCAAAUAAUAACGGAGGUGUCCCAAGGCCAGCUCAGUGCGGACAGAAACCACACAUAGAGCAAAAGGGCAAAUGCUGACUUGAUCUCGGUGUUCAGUACACACAGGGACAGCAAAAGCUCGGCCUAUCGAUCCUUUUGGUUUAAAGAGUUUUUAACAAGAGGUGUCAGAAAAGUUACCAUAGGGAUAACUGGCUUGUGGCGGCCAAGCGUUCAUAGCGACGUCGCUUUUUGAUCCUUCGAUGUCGGCUCU